AACAUAUUUUAAGACUACAGAUUUUUAAGCAAAAAUUGAUUUUAUUGCGGUUAUCCGUAGACAAGUCAACGCCACUGUACACACACACACACACACACACACACACACACACAUACACACACACGUGCAUACAUAUAUACAUGCAUACUUACAUGCAUAUAACGCCCGUCUGUAGGUAGGACAAUUUGUUAUAAGAUAUUUAUAUGAAUUGUGAUG